UGGUCGUUUUCUUAGUUUUGAGUGUUGUUGACUUUUAAUCAAUUGGUCGCAGGUUCGAAUCCUGCACGACCCACCA
rnacentral:tRNA from 1 species